AUUUGGAGUUGGGCCUAGGGCCCACGGCGAGCCGUGGCCUUUCAUAUACACUAAUGGAUACCCUCAUCGCGUCUUUUCCCGCACUCUCUCGACGAUCGUCUUCGCCUGGGUUUCCUUUGUUUGUAGAAUUGACAAGCCUAAAGAUACACUCAAAUGGCUGGUCCUAGGAUUGCCCAUGCUACCUUGAAAGGUCCAAGUGUGGUAAAGGAGAUAUUAAUUGGAAUAACACUCGGCAUUGCUGCUGGUAGUGUGUGGAAGAUGCACCACUGGAAUGAGCAGAGGAAAAUCAGGACCUUCUACGAUUUACUUGAAAAAGGUGAGAUCGGUGUUGUUGUGGAGGAACAGUAGAACUGUUCUUGCUUUGUUGCCUAUGCUCUUCAUAUAUAUAGGCUUUUUUCCCCUGCUAUAUUCAAUUGGCUCUUUAAAUGUAAAUGAGCCAACUAAC
rnacentral:sRNA from 1 species